rnacentral:rRNA from 1 species
CUUUCAACAACGGAUCUCUUGGUUCUGGCAUCGAUGAAGAACGCAGCGAAAUGCGAUAAGUAAUGUGAAUUGCAGAAUUCAGUGAAUCAUCGAAUCUUUGAACGCACAUUGCGCCCCCUGGUAUUCCGGGGGGCAUGCCUGUUCGAGCGUU